UUUUUUAGUUUUUGUUGGCACAAAUUGGAUUAAAUACAUGUUCUGAAGGCUGUUCUUUCGAACUUAAUUUGGGAUACAGGAGAGGAGUGAAAAAUGAAGACCUCAUCCAUGGAGUGAGAUUACUUUGUGAUUGUCACAGUCAAGUGCCUAAACAAGGUGGGGCAUUUGUGAUGGUGUGUGAAUGUUUGCCAUGGAACAAGAGAGACUUUGGUUUCUGGUUAUCGCUUGUGCUGUAUUCUUCAGUCUUCUACGUCCGUCACUGAGCACGGACCCGGUGGUGAGAGCGAGACUUGGGGCUAGCGCGGAGCUGGACUGUAGCCUCGCAGCUCUGUCUGACG